GACAGAAGGUGCAAGCGUUACUCGGAAUUACUGGGCGUAAAGCGUCUGUAGGUGUCUUUCCACGUCCGGCAUUAAAUCAUGGAGCUCAACUCCAUAACUAUGUUGGAAACGAGAAAGAUCGAGUCACUCAGAGGCAUCUGGAAUGUCGUGUGUAGGGGUAAAAUCCGUAGAUACACGAUGGAACGCCAAAAGCGAAGGCAGGAUGCUAGGGGUGUACUGACACUCAGAGACGAAAGCGUGGGGAGCAAAGGGG
rnacentral:rRNA from 1 species